GUAUUUAAUCUAAAUAAGAGCACUGAUUUCGACUCAGUAAAUUUCGGUUUACCGUCCCAAAAAUACU
rnacentral:tRNA from 1 species